AGGAGACAUAAAGAAUGCUUUGAAAUUGGUGUGAGACUUCAUAAAUUACAACUGACUGAAGAAAAAGACUGAAUCCUAUAUUAUAUGCAAAGGAGUAAGAUACACAACUCAAAUUAAGUAUUCCCAGAUGACAAUUAUGACUUCAAAAUACACAAUGGGUCUCACAGUCAAGAGACCCAAGUCCUAGUCCUUAACAGCCCCACCGCUAAGCUUCUAGGGUGCUUUAGGAAUAUUUGAGUCUCAGUUCCCUCAUUUAUUAAUACAUUCCCUUACAGAAUACAGAACUCUCUGAAUAUUCAGUUCCUCAACUACAUGAUGAAGUGGUGAAAUGAUCCAUGUCUAUGCUCUCUUUCAGCUUUAUGAUUCUAAGGAGAAAGAGAAUCUGCAUUAUUACUACCAUGAGACUUAGAUGAAGCCUGCUUAUGUACCAAUAAAGUAGAAAAGAAAAAUACGGGAAAAUAAGCCAUUUGAGGACCACACAAAUAUUCACCAAUACUACCAUAUUUUUGUGAAUUUUCUUCACAAUACUACCAUACAGAAAGGCCUUUCUAAAGAACUUUCUUUUCCAGGAUAAGCAGUUACCCUAAACCAAGAAGACCAAAGCAUCUAUUUAAAAAGUAUUUUCACCCAGUUCUUCAAUCUUCAGAGAACUUGUUUUGACAAAAUGAGAAGCUGAGCCCUAAUUAAACUUAUCUAAAGAAUGUA